rnacentral:lncRNA from 1 species
AUGAAACCUGCCUCCGGACUCUCUCGUGAUUUCACUUGUUUAAAUAAUAGAAGCAUGCGUCUGCAGGCCGCUGCCUCCCAAGUGCUGGGAUUAAAGGCGUGCACCAUCCCCACCGGCCAGAAAACUGCCUUUAAGUGAGCAUAACUGUUAUGAAAUCGAGCAUACACUUGCUGACUCACACAGUGAAGAGAUGGGUGUUGCCAUUGUCACAUAAUGGUGUUUAUGUCAUGCUCUACUCUGAGCCCACUCUGCAAAUGUGUCUUCUACAGGGGUCCGGUGUUCCCAACUGUAGCCAUGUUCCUUUCUUGUUUUCUUGCCUACACAACAACCUUUCUCCCAGCUGUCUCCAAUGCUGACCUAGGGUAAUGUUGCCACAUGGGCUUGGCUCAGGGGGAGGUACAGCAGAGGACCACACACAGUGCACAGGCACACAGAUACUAUACAGCGUAUUUUGGGUGGAAAUAAGGCACUUAGAGUCCUCCAAAAGCUAAUUGUUUUCUGUGAUGAACUGGUCACUCAGAUCAAAGAAGACUGGCCAGUCUGGCUCUUGGAUAGUUCACUGUCAAACUGCUUGUCCAAAGGGAAGACCAAUUUUGAUUGUUCUUGUCAUUUUUGCUCCUCACCUCUCCUCUUUGCUCUUUGAUCUGGCAUAUAAGGUGUUUGCUAUAAACAAAGAGACCAAUACUCCCCCUUCCCAACAGUUGGUGGGCACCCAGAAAACUCUACAGUGUUCUUGACAGAAAGUAUGUGGGCUCUGUGAAUGAAAAUUCUCCUGUCUGAGAUACUCCAGUCACUGUGCUUUUCUUGCCCUUUGAAAACAUGCAGUGUCUCAGGGAAUUUGUGUUCAAUGAGAAAACGAGAGACCAAAAAUUAAAAUUAAUAAAAGUUUAAAGACUUGGGUCUGCUGAACCUACACAGAGAAAAAAGGGAAUUUCUGAUGGUAGAAAGAUUUUGACCCUCUAACUGGGAGCACAUGACUAGGAGCCUGAGCCCAACUCUCAGAGAAAGAGUUAGCUCACCACCAUCUGUGUCAUUAUUCCUUUGUCCUAGAGAAAACCAGAUAACCGCUAAUUUCCGGUUGUAAAAAAAUCCCCUGGCCCAGGGGAUAAUUGGCAAACUCAUGACCCCAGGCUCCUGCCCUAUUAUGCUCAAAUGUGUCUUGCUAAAAUAUAUUGUUUUUGCUUUACUUUGUACUUUGUAAUGACCUUGAGUAAUCAUGGAAACUUUGUAAUUUGUGGCUUUCAGCCUUAUGGUCUUUUCCUUUAAAAGCUACCCUUAAUUGCUGGUUGGGGUUACACUUCCUC